UACGAAGGGGCUAGCGUUGCUCGGAAUCACUGGGCGUAAAGGGCUCGUAGGCGGCCAACUAAGUCAGACGUGAAAUCCCUCAGCUUAACUGGGGAACUGCGUCCGAUACUGGUUGGCUUGAAUCCGGGAGAGGGAUGUGGAAUUCCAGGUGUAGCGGUGAAAUGCGGUAGAUAUCGAGAGGAACACCUGCGGCGAAGGCGGGUCUCUGGACAGUUCCUGACACUGAGGCACGAAGGCCAGGGGAGCAAACGGG
rnacentral:rRNA from 1 species